UACGUAGGGUGCAAGCGUUGUCCGGAAUUAUUGAGCGUAAAGAGCUCGUAGGCGGUUUGUCGCGUCUGCUGUGAAAACCCGAGGCUCAACCUCGGGCCUGCAGUGGGUACGGGCAGACUAGAGUGCGGUAGGGGAGAUUGGAAUUCCUGGUGUAGCGGUGGAAUGCGCAGAUAUCAGGAGGAACACCGAUGGCGAAGGCAGAUCUCUGGGCCGUAACUGACGCUGAGGAGCGAAAGCAUGGGGAGCGAACAGG
rnacentral:rRNA from 1 species